GACGAACGCUGGCUGUGUGCUUAACACAUGCAAGUCGAACGGAAAGGCCCUGCUUUUGUGGGGUGCUCGAGUGGCGAACGGGUGAGUAACACGUGAGUAACCUGCCCUUGACUUUGGGAUAACUUCAGGAAACUGGGGCUAAUACCGGAUAGGAGCUCCUGCUGCAUGGUGGGGGUUGGAAAGUUUCGGCGGUUGGGGAUGGACUCGCGGCUUAUCAGCUUGUUGGUGGGGUAGUGGCUUACCAAGGCUUUGACGGGUAGCCGGCCUGAGAGGGUGACCGGCCACAUUGGGACUGAGAUACGGCCCAGACUCCUACGGGAGGCAGCAGUGGGGAAUAUUGCACAAUGGGCGGAAGCCUGAUGCAGCAACGCCGCGUGCGGGAUGACGGCCUUCGGGUUGUAAACCGCUUUCGCCUGUGACGAAGCGUGAGUGACGGUAAUGGGUAAAGAAGCACCGGCUAACUACGUGCCAGCAGCCGCGGUGAUACGUAGGGUGCGAGCGUUGUCCGGAUUUAUUGGGCGUAAAGGGCUCGUAGGUGGUUGAUCGCGUCGGAAGUGUAAUCUUGGGGCUUAACCCUGAGCGUGCUUUCGAUACGGGUUGACUUGAGGAAGGUAGGGGAGAAUGGAAUUCCUGGUGGAGCGGUGGAAUGCGCAGAUAUCAGGAGGAACACCAGUGGCGAAGGCGGUUCUCUGGGCCUUUCCUGACGCUGAGGAGCGAAAGCGUGGGGAGCGAACAGGCUUAGAUACCCUGGUAGUCCACGCUGUAAACGGUGGGUACUAGGUGUGGGGUCCAUUCCACGGGUUCCGUGCCGUAGCUAACGCUUUAAGUACCCCGCCUGGGGAGUACGGCCGCAAGGCUAAAACUCAAAGGAAUUGACGGGGCCCCGCACAAGCGGCGGAGCAUGCGGAUUAAUUCGAUGCAACGCGUAGAACCUUACCUGGGUUUGACAUGGAUCGGGAGUGCUCAGAGAUGGGUGUGCCUCUUUUGGGGUCGGUUCACAGGUGGUGCAUGGCUGUCGUCAGCUCGUGUCGUGAGAUGUUGGGUUAAGUCCCGCAACGAGCGCAACCCUUGUUCACUGUUGCCAGCACGUUAUGGUGGGGACUCAGUGGAGACCGCCGGGGUCAACUCGGAGGAAGGUGGGGAUGACGUCAAGUCAUCAUGCCCCUUAUGUCCAGGGCUUCACGCAUGCUACAAUGGCUGGUACAGAGAGUGGCGAGCCUGUGAGGGUGAGCGAAUCUCGGAAAGCCGGUCUCAGUUCGGAUUGGGGUCUGCAACUCGACCUCAUGAAGUCGGAGUCGCUAGUAAUCGCAGAUCAGCAACGCUGCGGUGAAUACGUUCCCGGG
rnacentral:rRNA from 1 species